UGGCGGACAGGUGAGUAACGCGUGGGUAACCUGCCUCAUACAGGGGGAUAACAGUUAGAAAUGACUGCUAAUACCGCAUAAGACCACAGCACCGCAUGGUGUAGGGGUAAAAACUCCGGUGGUAUGAGAUGGACCCGCGUCUGAUUAGGUAGUUGGUGGGGUAACGGCCUACCAAGCCGACGAUCAGUAGCCGACCUGAGAGGGUGACCGGCCACAUUGGGACUGAGACACGGCCCAA
rnacentral:rRNA from 1 species